UCAUCAGCAUCAAGGAACACCGCUUUAUUUGAAUCCCUGAAGGGGCAGCACGUAACAGUAUUCUUUACAAGACUGACUUUAGGUAUUAAUAGACAGAUACCUAAGAAUUGUAACUUCAUCAAAAAUGUAUUUUGGAGAUGUGAACAAUUAUGAUUACCAUAUUGAUUGUACCUUUUAUAUUGGAUUGAUUGUUGUUGAAACGUCUAGGAUGCAAUUUAUCGCUAUCCAGCGGCAACACACAGAACAUGACACCCAUUCUACACAGUCAUCUUCGGGGAGACUUUGGUGCUUAUUUGAAUGUCGGC